rnacentral:rRNA from 1 species
GACGAACGCUGGCGGCGUGCUUAACACAUGCAAGUCGAACGGAAAGGCCUGUCCUUCCUUGUGUUGGACGGGUACUCGAGUGGCGAACGGGUGAGUAACACGUGAGUGAUCUGCCCCCAACUUGGGUAUAAGCCUGGGAAACUGGGUCUAAUUCCCGAUAGGACUGCAGGGUGGUGCCUGUGGUGGAAAACGAUUUUCUAGUGGUUGGGGAUGAGCUCGCGGCCUAUCAGCUUGUUGGUGGGGUAAUGGCCUACCAAGGCGGCGACGGGUAGCCGGCCUGAGAGGGUGGACGGCCACAUUGGGACUGAGAUACGGCCCAGACUCCUACGGGAGGCGGCAGUGGGGAAUAUUGCACAAUGGGCGGAAGCCUGAUGCAGCGACGCCGCGUGGGGGAUGACGGCCUUCGGGUUGUAAACUCCUUUCGACCGCGAGGAAGCCGCCUGGUUGGAAGGGUGGUGACGGUAGUGGUAGAAGAAGCACCGGCUAACUACGUG